rnacentral:misc_RNA from 1 species
GGAAGGAUCAUUAACACAAAUGAUAUAACCUUUUUUUUUCUUUCUCCCCCUUCCUUUUUUUUCUUUCGGAAAAGAAGAGAAGGGGAGAGAAGAAAAAAAAUAUAAACCACUGGAAAAUGUUAAAGUCUCUUAACAUUAUUACUAAUGCAUAAGAGUACUUUACUCAUUUUUUUUACUUAAAAAAAAAUUAAAUCACUUGAUUUUAAUCAUUUAUAUUGAUUAUAUCAAAACAAAAAAAAACUUUAAACACAACUUUUAGCGACGGAUCUCUUGGCUCAUGCAACGAUGAAGAACACAGCGAAAUGUGAUAAGUAAUGUGAAUUGCAGAUGUCUGUGAAUCAUCAAGUCUUUGAACGCAAGUUGCGCCGUCAAAAGCGGCAUACUUGUUGGAGUGAUGGUAAAAUCAAAACAAAAGAAAAAAGAUCUCUUUCUUUCUUUCUUAUCAUUUAAAGAAAAGAGAAAGGGGUAUUGAGGAUCUAAAUUGAUACAAAAUCAAUUUUAGUCUCUCUUAAUUGUAUGUAUUUUUUUUUCCCCUUCCUUUUUUUUCCCCUCUCAUCAAAAAAAGUAGAUAUUGUUGGAUGUGUCUUUAAAAACACAAUAUCAAUAUCGAAAUGAAAAAGGUGAUGGAAAAAAAGAAGAAGAAAUAAUAUAAAAAAAAAAAAUAAUAUCGGAACACUUUUUAUUAUAAACAUCAUCCUCCAAUCAAGUAAGACUACCCCCUGAACUUAAGCAUAUUAAUAAGUGGAGGAAAAGAAACUAACUAGGAUUCCCUCAGUAAUGGCGAAUGAAGUGGGAAGAGCUCAGGUUUAAAAUCUGGCAGCAGUUUUCGCUGUCCGAAUUGUAGUCUUUUGGAUGGUCAUAGGAGUGGGCACUGGCGCAAGUCCGUUGGAAUGCGGCGCCUUAGAGGGUGAGAGCCCCGUAGUUAGCCAGCUGACUCGCUCCGUAAGUUGAUCGUUCGUAGAGUCGGGUUGUUUGGGAAUGCAGCCUUAACUGCGAGGUAAAUUCCUUGCAAAGCUAAAUAUUGGCAUGAGACCGAUAGCGAACAAGUAGAGUGAUCGAAAGAUGAAAAGAACUUUGAAAAGAGGGUUAAAAGUACGUGAAAUCGCUAAAAGGGAAGGCAUUAGGUUCAGUAUGGGCGUGUCUCCAAAUCGUGUAUCGUGAGGGUUUAAGGGGCUAUGGAGAGGGCUGGUUUACACCUGGUUCAUCCAUGGUUCAUGAAGCCUCCGUCGGUGCACUACUUUUGGGACGCGCUAGUCAGCAUCGGUUCGCUUGAGUCGGUGACAGAAAAGCUGGGGCAUGGAAGGCCGCCUGCGGGUGGUUGAAUACCCUGGUCGAUUGGUCACCUGGUGGACUGAGGUGGUGCAUAAAAGUGCACCAGCAUAGGGGGUGCCUCAAGGCAGUGCUCCGACGCUUGCAGCGGUUGACGGGGUGUUGCACUAGUGCAGUGCUGCGCUCUGGCGGCUGUUCCCGGGUGUUGAUCCGCUUACCCCCUCUUGAUGCCUGACAAAAUGGACUUAAUGCACCCGUCUUGAAACACGGACCAAGGAGUUCAGCAUAUGUGCGAGUAUUUGGGUGCGAAAAACCCAUGUGCGCAAUGAAAGUGAAGGCUGGUUUGGCCAGCUCAGGUGGGACGGUGCCGUGACGAACGGUACCCGCACCAUCGACCGGUCUGGAGAUACUUCGAAAGAUCUGAGUAAGAGCACAUCUGUUGGGACCCGAAAGAUGGUGAACUAUGCCUGCAUAGGGUGAAGCCAGAGGAAACUCUGGUGGAGGCUCGUAGCGAUACUGACGUGCAAAUCGUUCGUCAAAUGUGGGUAUAGGGGCGAAAGACUAAUCGAACCUUCUAGUAGCUGGUUCCCUC